rnacentral:rRNA from 1 species
AAUGAACGCUGGCGGUAUGCUUAACACAUGCAAGUCGAACGAACAAGGCUGGAGCUUGCUUCAGCUGCGUUAGUGGCAAACGGGUGAGUAACACGUGGGAAUCUACCCAUCAGUACGGAAUAACAUUUGGAAACAAAUGCUAAUACCGUAUAUUCUCUAAGGAGGAAAGAUUUAUCGCUGAUGGAUGAGCCCGCGCAAGAUUAGGUAGUUGGUGGGGUAAUGGCCUACCAAGCCGACGAUCUUUAGCUGGUCUGAGAGGAUGAUCAGCCACACUGGGACUGAGACACGGCCCAGACUCCUACGGGAGGCAGCAGUGGGGAAUAUUGGACAAUGGGCGAAAGCCUGAUCCAGCAAUACCGCGUGAAUGAUGAAGGCCCUAGGGUUGUAAAGUUCUUUUAAUAGGGAAGAUAAUGACGGUACCUAUAGAAAAAGCCCCGGCUAACUCCGU